rnacentral:rRNA from 1 species
AGGAUGAACGCUGGCGGCGUGCCUAACACAUGCAAGUCGAACGUCCUGUCUCGCAAGAGGCAGGGAGUGGCGGACGGGUGAGUACCACGUGGGUUAUCUACCGUGAGGUGAGGAAUACCGGCGAGAAAUCGCCGACAAGACCGCAUAGCCUCGGUGCAAGCCGAGGAAAGCUUUCUCGAGAGAGGGAGCGCCACACGAGGAGCCUGCGCCCGAUUAGCUAGCUGGUGGAGUAACGGUUCACCAGGGCGACGAUCGGUAGCUGGUCUGAGAGGACGAUCAGCCACACUGGGAUUGAGAACGGCCCAGACUCCUACGGGGGGCAGCAGUGAGGAAUUUUCGUCAAUGGGGCAACCCUGAACGAGCAACGCCGCGUGCAGGAGAAGGUUUCGAUCGUAAACUGCUUUUCUCGGGAAGAGAACGGACGGUACCCGAGGAAUCGAGCCCCGGCUAACUACGUGCCAGCAGCCGC